rnacentral:lncRNA from 1 species
UCAAUUUCUCCAAGUCUUUCCUUAACUUCUUCAAAUCUCUCGAUCUUUCCUUGAUUUUUUUUUUCUUCGUCAAUCAUUUAUUAUUUCCUUACAAAUCCAGUACCUACAUUAACUCAUGAAAUCUACGUUUUUUUUUAUGCGGUACGUCUCUUCUUUCGUCUUUUCUAUUCUUUUAUUGUGUCAAUCGUUCAGCUUUGAUGCUUUCAUCUCCUUGUUUCAGAUCUGACUUUUUGGGAGAAGACAACCGAACCUAUGCUGCUUAGAUUCACCAUAUUUGCUACUUAACACCAUCGUUUCUUCCAAAGCCACCGCCUUUGCCAUUUUCCACCACCACCAUCACCGUAGGCUCGUAGCUCCUUCCUCACACAUGUAGUUUUAAAGCCUCGGAGAAGACGCCUUCCGAUGAUAUCCCGGCAAAAUUAAGCGUCAUGGAGACCUCUUUCUUGUAAUGUAAAGGCCCAAUUAUGAAGAAUAAGUAGAAAGCAACGUAUAGGCCCAAUGGAAAAUAAAUAGAAAGCGACGAACGAUUAAAUGAUACGGUGAGUUUUGGUGAGAGGGAC